UCUGAUUUAAGGUCAGCUCUGAGACCUGGAUCUGGAUCUGGAUCUGGAGGUGGUACCUUUGUUAUCACGGACAGAGAAGUUGGCCUUCCCAGCAGCCUCCUGUGCCAGGCUGAAGAAGAACCGAUGUCCUCCCAGCGGCUCGUCGGGGUCUGUGGCGCUGAUGGUUUGGAUCCUCUGGGAAGAGAACCGCAGCACUGAUGAGCAACCACUAGAACUCCAGGUUGUCGGUUUGACUCUUCACUCACUGAACUCCGUGGCGGUGACGCUGAUGUUGUGCCAGGAGUUCUCCUCUCGGUCCAGGUCUUUGAGGAUGAACAAGGAGCCGUUUCCUGCGUGGAUGUUAAAGACGCGGUCCAUGUCGGUACGACGGUCGAUGGAGUAUCUGCACACACACACACAGAGUUUUGGGUGUUAGUGUGGUUGAAGACGAGCUGGGAAAGUUUCAGCUGGCUGAGCCCUGACCCCCCACCCUCCACCCCCCCGCCUGAUUAAUGACAGAGGGAUAACGGUGCAGCACCACGUCCUGACCGGGCGUCAGAAGUGCUGCUGUCAGCAGGUGUCCACGCCGUGGGCCGGACGUGAGGUCGGGCCAAGGACGGCAGGCUUCCAGAAAUGUUCCUCGUCAGCGGGUUCAGACGUUCUCCUCUCCAACCACGUGAGUGACUGUGAAGGUCAAA